rnacentral:sRNA from 1 species
ACUCAUUUAAAAGUUUAACAACAAAAAAGGGUUAAACAAAUUCAAAAUUCUGUGGCAGGCGAUAACAGUCGGCGUGGGCGUAGUAGUAUGACAAAGCGACGUCAGCAGCUGAAAAACUGAAAAUCAACUGGAGUCAAGCGGCCCCCGACUUAAUUUGUUUAAACAAAUUAUGUGUGGAUAACAUAGCGAUACGGAUACGUGGAAAGGUGUUUAGCAGCUGAAACUAUAACAAACAGAGCGCGGUAUGUCGUACACAUGCACAUAGUGUUUUAUAUUAUAUACAUAUAUUGUACCGCCUGGAAUUACAAUGAUUUCGGUUGUGCGGGGGCGCAACAAUACGAGUAUCGAAGCCCCGAAGCCUUAUCACACCGGUCGCCUUCGCAAAGUGUUUUAGCAUACAAAAUUUGGUUUUAUUUGCCUACUGUCCCCCAAUAGAGCUCGUUUCAUGGUGGCUCGGGGGGUUCACGGGGUUUUGGGAAAAAAAAAAACGAGGAGAAGAAGCGGUUAGCCAAAAGCUAGCGCUGACUGCUGAUAACACCCGCAUAUGGCGGCAAGGUAAGCGACUGGAUAUCUGGACAAACAAAUGAGCAAACAAAUG